AGUGAACGCUGGCGAUAGGCCUAACACAUGCAAGUCGAACGGCAGCACAGUAAGAGCUUGCUCUUACGGGUGGCGAGUGGCGGACGGGUGAGGAAUACAUCGGAAUCUACUUUUUCGUGGGGGACAACGUAGGGAAACUUACGCUAAUACCGCAUACGACCUACGGGUGAAAGCAGGGGAUCUUCGGACCUUGCGCGAUUGAAUGAGCCGAUGUCGGAUUAGCUAGUUGGCGGGGUAAAGGCCCACCAAGGCGACGAUCCGUAGCUGGUCUGAGAGGAUGAUCAGCCACACUGGAACUGAGACACGGUCCAGACUCCUACGGGAGGCAGCAGUGGGGAAUAUUGGACAAUGGGCGCAAGCCUGAUCCAGCCAUACCGCGUGGGUGAAGAAGGCCUUCGGGUUGUAAAGCCCUUUUGUUGGGAAAGAAAAGCAGCAGGUUAAUACCCCGCUGUUCUGACGGUACCCAAAGAAUAAGCACCGGCUAACUUCGUG
rnacentral:rRNA from 1 species